CGAGCCCACCUUUAACCCCAUCUUCAGAUUCGUUUUCACCAGUUUCACCACCAACCACAAUCAGUCCAAUCUCAUCAAAUGACGAUGAUGAAAGUUCACUUUUACCAGGACCGCGUGAUUCUCGAUUUCUUGCACCAUCUAAGGGAAAUGUUUCAAUGACGGCAGAAUGUUUGGAAUGUAUUUGCGAGGUAUGUUUUUGAAUCACAACAUUUUUGCUGAAAAUUAACGGGUUUUCUAUUUUAUUUAGGCUUCAAGCAAAUGUGAUGCCAAUUUUCCUUGCAAGAAUUACGGAGGAUCUCAAGCGUGUGGUCCUUAUCAAAUUAGUAUUGCUUAUUGGUUGGAAUCUGGAAAACCUGGUUACAAAGGAGGCUCAAGUGAUUUCAUCAAUUGUGUUACCAACAUGGACUGUGCUCAAGAAACACUGAAAGGCUACGUUAAAAAUUUGAAACGAGACUGCAAUAAUGAUGGAGCCAUUGAUUGUCUUGAUUAUGCUCUUAUUCAUAAGCUUGGACCAAAUGCUUGUCAAGAUCAAAGUUUUCUUGACUCACCUUAUUGGAAUGAUUUCCAGGCUUGUUAUGGCUUUGAGAGAUAAUUAUUGUCUUUUUUCAGACAUCUAGGAUGUCGAAUGCCAGCCAUUUUGAAUUUAAUUUCAGUUUUUUUAAUGCCAAUUUUUCAAUCCAAUGUGCCUAUCUUAUUAAUUGAAAGAUGAUUUUUUCAAUUAAAGCCAUUUCUCGACAUUUUAUCAAUGAAGAUCAUUUUUAUUUUUUCAUUUGAUUUGUUUCAAAAUUAAAGAAAACAAGUUCACU
rnacentral:miRNA from 1 species